CCCUGUCCCUAUCUACUAUCUAGCGAAGCCACAGCCGGAGGAACGGGUCCGGGGCUGUCAGCGGGGAAAGAAGACCCUGUUGAGCUUGAUUCGCGAUUGGCUUUGUUGGGCGAGAGCGCAGGUGUAGCCUAGGUGGGAUGGCUUCGGCGCAAGNNUGAAAGACCACUACUGCGUUCCUCGUUCGACUCACUUGAUGAGGCAAUUGAAACGGCCACUAACAUGAGUGUCACCGUAUUUUUAAAAACCAAGCGAUACCGGGUACGGCAACAACGCUCGACUUUCACUGGUUAGCCGGUGGAGUCGGGUUCCGUCUUACUUUUGCGCUACGGAAAUCGAGGACAAAGUCAGUUCUGAAUUUAACUGGGGCGGUGUGCCCGCGAAACUCUAGCGCGGGCGCCCCAAGGCCAGCUUCAGAAGGGGGAGAAACCCUUGGUAGAGUGAAAGGGCAAAAGCUGGCUUGAGGAUGUUUUUCAGUAGGAAGGAUCCGUGUGAAAGCAAGGCCUAUCGAUCCUUUUGUGUCGCCCUUAGGGCGACGACGGGCGAGCUCAAUCUUUUCGCUUCCCGCAAGAGGUGUCAGAAAAGUUACCACAGGGAUAACUGGCUUGUGGCAGCCAAGCGUUCUUAGCGACGUUG
rnacentral:rRNA from 1 species